UACGAAGGGGGCUAGCGUUGCUCGGAAUCACUGGGCGUAAAGGGUGCGUAGGCGGGUCUUUUAAGUCAGGGGUGAAAUCCUGGAGCUCAACUCCAGAACUGCCUUUGAUACUGAGGAUCUUGAGUUCGGGAGAGGUGAGUGGAACUGCGAGUGUAGAGGUGAAAUUCGUAGAUAUUGGGAAGAACACCGGUGGCGAAGGCGGCUCACUGGCUCAUUACUGACGCUCAGGCGCGAUAGCGUGGGGAUCAAACAGG
rnacentral:rRNA from 1 species